rnacentral:rRNA from 1 species
UACGAAGGGGGCUAGCGUUGCUCGGAUUGACUGGGCGUAAAGGGCGCGUAGGCGGUUCGUACAGUCAGACGUGAAAUUCCUGGGCUCAACCUGGGGGCUGCGUUUGAUACGUGCGGACUUGAGUGCGGAAGAGGGUCGUGGAAUUCAUGGUGUAGCAGUGAAAUGCGUAGAGAUCAUGAGGAAGACCAGUGGCGAAGGCGGGUCUCUGGACAGUUCCUGACACUGAGACACGAAGGCCAGGGGAGCAAACGGG